rnacentral:rRNA from 1 species
AGCGUAGGUGGUUGUGCAAGUUGUAUGUGAAAGCCCCAGGCUUAACCUGGGAACUGCAUACAAAACUGUACUUCUAGAGUGUGGGAAAGGCAAGUGGAAUUCCUAGUGUAGCGGUAGAAUGCGUAGAGAUUAGGAGGAACACCAGAGGCGAAGGCGGCUUGCUGGAACACAACUGACACUGAGGCUCGAAAGCGUGGGGAGCAAACA